UCCGUUUUCCAUUUGACAAUUCUUCUGUUGCCUAUUCCCAUUCGUGGGUCGUGAACGCUUCAGCCUGUCGUAAUCUUGUCUUAUAUCAUUCUUGUUCCUCUCCCAGACGCCUUUCACACAGGCAAUUCUUGUUGCGGCAAUUCUUAGUUUUAUAAGAGAGGGGCGACGAGGAGAGGAGAAUCGCGCCGAGUCCGCUGUGUUCGGGCAACACGCUUUGUGUUCUUAUUCGUAACAGUUCGCUGCUACGUAACAGUGUUGCAUUUGCGCACAUUUUAAAAUUAAUGUAUACAUUAUAUUUGAAAAUUUGAAUUUAAUCAUUUAAUUUUGUAUGUAAUUUCCAAAUACAUAUAGAAAUAUGCAUAAUAUAAUUAAAACUGUUAGAAAAUGGAGAAUAACGAUAAAAAUUAGUUAAUGAAAUAUACUUUUUGUUUGGAAACGAUGCGUACAUGAAGUUGAGAAAAUUAUAUGAAAGAGAAUGAAAAAAAGACAAGAACAGAGUCGUUGAACAAGAAUUGCAAAAGGGAAUCGCCCGAGAAUUAGCAACAGGAGUUGCCUGUGUGAAAGUGGUCCUGCAAAUCAGUAGUUGCCCAGACAACAGUAUUCGCGUUUGAACGCGGUCUUUCGAAUUGUUGUAUUUGAAAUGUUGUUGCAGGCUGUGACAAUGUUUGCUUCGGUCUUUGCAUUUUAACUUUUAUUUCGCAUAAAUAAGUAUAUAAAAUGGAUCACUCCUCGUCAAUAGGUUAGAUGCACCCGUUCUUACAAUAGUAUUCGGCUAUGAACUUUUAUUUUGGAUUCAAUUAAAUAUAAGCUAAUCUGCAAAAGUGUUGGUUAUUCAAUGAUAUUUCAGGGAUAAUGUUCAAAUGUAUACAAAUUUAACAAAAUUGUAUUUUUUUAUUUAGAGCAGUUUACAAUAAGGGCAUCUUUUCUUGGUCUUUAGCAUAGGCGCACUUAAAGUAAUUUAUUUUUGAAAGAAAAAUAGCUAAUUUUUAAAUUUUAAGUGAGUGUUAAUAUUAGACGUAUUUAGGUUAAAUUGAAAAUUGUAAAUUGUACUGUUUCCUAAUUUGCAAUAAAUUCAUGCAUACAUAUGUAUGCGUUGAAUGAUGGAUGAAGUCUAUGUAGUUUAGCGAAAUUUAUCUCCAUGUGUAAUUUUGCUGCAAUUAAAGGGAUUCUAUAUAUUCGUAUUGAUUUCCUUCUUAAUCUUUGCAUGCAAGCUAACGCAAACGUUUUUAAUUGCGGUAUGUCCGAAGAAUAUGGUGACCAACCCCUAUAAAACGUGAAGCCAUCCCGUACAAUUACCCACUUACGAUGGCGUCUUAAGCACAUUUCUUCUUUGUGUAAAUCAUGAAAAUAGUAUUGAAAGCCAUGGUGUGCCUAUAAAUUAAAACGUUUUUCAUCAGUAAACAUAAUCAUUUAAUACUCCAAGAAAUGUACCCUUCCGCAAAUUGAAACAGUUGGCUUUCAGAGGUUGAUUUUUCAUAUUUUUUAGACGCUUAAGAAGUUUUACUUUUCUGAUUGUACGCGGGACGGUUGAAAGGCUUUCCUGACCUUAGAAGCCGACUAGGUAGAGUUGGAAUUUUAUGAUCAGUACGAUCGGGACUGUUUUUCGCCCUUUAUUGUUUUUUUUUCAUUUUCUUCUGGAUCUUUUCAUAUAUAUCAACAGAUAUGGAUCAAUGCUUUAUUUGUAACAUGAUGAGACCAUCCAAUUUUUGCUGUAACAAGGUACAAAUGAUGUAAUAAGUACAAACAAUAUUUGCUUUGACUGUAUUGUUCUUUAUUUGCAUUCUAUUUUAUGCCAGUUAGGUUAAUCAUUGCCGUUUAGUAUUUGUAAAUUAAACAGAUCGAUUUUUAGUUUUUAGCAUACACACAUCAUUUAAGUUCAGAUGCAUGUUCAAAGUUUAUAAUUGCUUAAAUUAAAAGAAUUUUGAAUCAUGUGAAUAAAUCUGAACUUGUUUUAACUCAUGUAUAAUUUUUACAUCAUGCCAUAUUUCUGACUUUAACAAGCCUUUGGUAACCUUAUUAUUUUAUUUGUUCCAACAAAGACCCUUUGAAGAAAUUUAAGUAGCCGGUCUUCUAAUGGCAUAUUUAAUGAACUGUUUCUUUAUGUUUAAGGAUGCUGCGUCACAUGCACAUUUGUUGAUAAUGUUUGAUAUUGUAAUACCUGUCAAUUUUCACGUUUGUGUGGUGGGACAUACAUUUGCCUUU